UGAGAAUUUGUCGCAAAGGGAAGUUGUUAAUACCACAAAAUCAAAGUCCUAUGGAAGCAUUGAACAUGGAGCAGGUCCUGAUCCAUGUGAGCACAAGAAUAUCACCGAGUUAUCCUCGCAACUGAAGGCAAGAAGGCAGCAGAGUAAGUCACACUUUUUCGGGAGAAAAUUCCGAUUUUUUUAACUACGUGGGAUAAAAGAGGCACGACUGCACAAGCGCAUGUCCUCAGAGCGCGGAAGGCUUAAACAGGGAAGCAAUCUUCCACAGUUUUUUUUUUCCCGAU